UAGAUGCUUCAAAAUACUCAGGAUCUCGAGG
rnacentral:piRNA from 1 species